rnacentral:rRNA from 1 species
ACGAGAUUAGCGAGUGUCUCGUGGGCUCGGAGAUGUGUAUAAGAGACAGGUUUCGGCAAGGGGGUCAUCCCGACUUACCAACCCGAUGCAAACUGCGAAUACCGGAGAAUGUUAUCACGGGAGACACACGGCGGGUGCUAACGUCCGUCGUGAAGAGGGAAACAACCCAGACCGCCGGCUAAGGUCCCCAAUAACAGCUAAGUGGAAAACGAAGUGGAAAGGCCGUGACAACCAGGAAGUUGGCUUAGAAGCAGCCAUCCUUCAAAGAAAGCGUAAUAGCUCACUGGUCGAGUCCUUCUGCGCGGAAGAUGUAACGGGGCUAAGCUGUUAACCGAAGCCGCGGAUGCACUGAUUAUUCAGUGCGUGGUAGGGGAGCGUUCUGUAAGUCUGCGAAGGCGGUUCGAGAGGACUGCUGGAGAUAUCAGAAGUGCGAAUGCUGACAUGAGUAACGUUAAAGCAGGUGAAAAGCCUGCUCGCCGUAAGCCCAAGGAUUCCUGCUCUACGUUCAUCGGAGCAGGGUGAGUCGGCUCCUAAGGUCAGGCCGAAAGGCGUAGCCGAUGGGAAUCAGGUUAAUAUUCCUGAACCUGCGUCAGAUGCGAUGGGGGGACGGAGCAUGAAAGAUCAUCCGGGUGUUGGAUGUCCCGGUUGACGAGCGUAGGAGGUCUGCAGGCAAAUCCGCAGACGCAUCUCCAAGGCGAAGUCACGUGCCGCCACGGCGGCGAAGUGAUCGGAAGUGCUUCCAAGAAAAGCCUCUAAGCACCAGUCUGGCGCGGACCGUACCGCAAACCGACACUGGUGGGCGAGCUGAAUAUGCUCAGGCGCUUGAGAGAACUCGGGAGAAGGAACUCGGCAAAUUGACACCGUAACUUCGGAAGAAGGUGUGCCGUAGUACCGUGAGAGGAGAGACACCUUGAGCGUGAAUCGGUCUCAGAGAAUAGGUGGCUGCGACUGUUUAUUAAAAACACAGCACUCUGCAAAGUCGAAAGACGACGUAUAGGGUGUGAUGCCUGCCCGGUGCUGGAAGAUUAAUUGAUGGGGUGAGAGCCCUUGAUCGAAGUCCCAGUAAACGGCGGCCGUAACUAUAACGGUCCUAAGGUAGCGAAAUUCCUUGUC